UGAACAUGUUAUUCCUUAUACUGUGAUCCAUUCAGAUCUCACAAGUUAAUCAGGGUCAGGCUGGGUCAAUACUUGGGUGUGAGAUCUCCAAGGAGCACCUAAUAAUAACAACAU
ensembl:rRNA 5S_rRNA 5S ribosomal RNA